GAGUCGAAUGUAGCAAUACAUGGCGAACUGCUCAGUAACACGUGGACAACCUGCCCUUAGGUUGGGUAUAAACCCGGGAAACUGGGUAUAAUACCCGAUAGGUCUCGAUUGCUGGAAUGCAUCGAGAUUUAAAGCUCCGGCGCCUAAGGAUGGGUCUGCGGCCUAUCAGGUAGUAGUGGGUGUAGCGUACCUACUAGCCUACGACGGGUACGGGUUGUGAGAGCAAGAGCCCGGAGAUGGAUUCUGAGACACGAAUCCAGGCCCUACGGGGUGCGGCAGGCGCGAAAACUUUACAAUGCUGGCAACAGCGAUAAGGGAACCUCGAGUGCCAGGUUACAAAUCUGGCUGUCGAGAUGCCUAAAAAGCAUUUCAUAGCAAGGGCCGGGCAAGACCGGUGCCAGCCGCCGCGGUAACACCGGCGGCUCGAGUGGUAACCGUUAUUAUUGGGUCUAAAGGGUCUGUAGCCGGCCGGAUAAGUCUCUUGAGAAAUCUGGCAGCUUAACUGUCAGGCUUUCAGGAGAUACUGUCUGGCUCGAGGCCGGGAGAGGUGAGAGGUACUUCAGGGGUAGGGGUGAAAUCUUGUAAUCCUUGAAGGACCACCAGUGGCGAAGGCGUCUCACCAGAACGGACCUGACGGCAAGGGACGAAAGCUAGGGGCACGAACCGGAUUAGAUACCCGGGUAGUCCUAGCCGUAAACGAUACUCGCUAGGUGUCGGCCACGGUGCGACCGUUGUCGGUGCCGUAGGGAAGCCGUGAAGCGAGCCACCUGGGAAGUACGGCCGCAAGGCUGAAACUUAAAGGAAUUGGCGGGGAAGCACCACAACGGGUGGA
rnacentral:rRNA from 1 species